UCGUAGUUUUUCGGUGUAAUUUUUGUAAAAUUUGUGUUUUAAAGAAAAUUAUUUUUGAAAACUCCAUGGAAAUUGCAUAUUUAUUGAAUUCCCCAUAAUUUAAACGUGAAAUAAUGUCAAAUAGUCUUCAAAGUUAGCUGCACUGUUGGGCAUCUUCUGUGCAAAUGUCGGCAGCAGUUGGAAGAGUUAUGCAAAUUUUCAGCGGAAUACACAUUUAAGGUUACGUGUUGGGGUCGUUCUAGCAGGGCUACAAUUAUUGGCAGCCCAUCGCCGGUUAGAAUUCAAUUUUGCCCACUUCCUUUUUUCUUCGUCGUAGUUUUUUCGGUAUAAUUUGAGUAAAAUUUCUAUUUUAAAGACAAACAUCGUUAAAAACUCUAUAGAAAUUGUGAAUUAAUCGAAAUCGUCAUAUAUUGGAUGUGCUAUAAUAUCAAAUAGUGCUCAAAGAUAUCCACCAGUGCAGCUUCUGUGCAAAUGUCGGCAGCCGUUGGAAGUGUUAUUAUUCAAUAGAUGUGCAAACCAUUAUUUGUUAAACGUAACGUGUUUGUUGCCAUUCUUGGCAAUCCUUGGCCGAUUAGAACUCAACUUGGCCCACUCCAUACAAUCCGGCUGUCAUGGAAGAGCAUCUAUAGAAGCUGUUUGGAUGGUCUCAAAAACGUGCUGGGAAACUAAUUUCGGUCGGUCGCAUUAUGUGUUAGAAUUGGCAUUACGUUUUCAUGGGGCCCGGGCCCCCAGACAAAGUUGACGAUUGUUCAAAAUCUUACAGGAAAUUACACAAAUUGGUUAAUUAAUUUGAAUCAACGUCUGAAAUCAGUAUACAAUUUUAUCAGGAGUUAAAUAUGUGAAAGCAUCAGUCUUCCUUACCAGGGUAUUAAACCCAACACCUCUUCGUGUUGAUGUAUUGCGGAGAUUUUUUCUUCAUCUGGACCACUACAGCAGAGACACAUACUAUU